GACGAACGCUGGCGGCGUGCCUAAUACAUGCAAGUCGAACGCAGUGGGGACGGGUGAGCAACACGUGGGUAACCUCCCAUCAGAGGGGAUAACACUUGGUAACAGGUGCUAAACCGCUACUGAUGGAUGGACCCGCGGUGCAUUCGCUAGUUGGUGAGGUAACGGCUCACCAAGGCCACGCUGCAUAGCCGAACUGAGAGGGGGAUCGGCCACACGGGGACUGAGACACGGCCCAGACUCGUACGGGAGGCAGCAGUAGGGAAUCGUCGGCAAUGGAGGAAAUUCUGACCGAGCAACGCGGCGUGAGUGAAGAAGGUUUGCGGAUCGUAAAACUCUGUUGUUAGAGAAGCGGUAUCUAACCAGAAAGCCACGGCUAACUACGUGCCAGCCGCCGCGGUAAUUC
rnacentral:rRNA from 1 species